rnacentral:lncRNA from 1 species
AGGCGUUUCUUCUUCUUUUUUUGCAAAUUCUUUUUUUCAUAUGAAAUUACAGUUCCAAAUACAAAUUGUAAUGUAUUGCUAAUCUAAAAUUAGAGUUUUAAGCGUGACUAAAACUGAAACCCUCUCCAUGUAAUUGAGUCAAUGGAAUGAACUCCCACGUUCUCUUUCCUAGCUGCCAACUCCAUUUCGAGUUUGCGUCUGCUAUAUGUCUCCCCCUUGUGGCACCCAAGGAGGCCAAGAACCCUAAUGGGCUUUUUCUAUAAACCUUACGGAUAAUUAAAUCCUUGCACCCCAUUAAUUUUUCUUUUAUCAGGUGAGGCCAACCUGUGUGUUUUUUUUUCCAAGGGUAGGAGAAUUUAAAUAUGGUGAGUUCUUCCAUCUCUUUCUUUAGCUUUUGUACUUACCUUUUUUCAUCUUGCAUAUUCAUCAUGGGAGAUUGAUCUAUCUAUAAAAUCAUCUAUUUCCAGAUGUCCAAGCCAAUUACAGGAGCAUACUAGAUGUCACUAAGCAACCGUCAUCUUGAACCAAGAAGCUACCAUUUGUUUAUGUCCUCUCUUUUGAAAAUUGAUGUUAAUUCGAAGAUGAGUACCAUUGUUGAGAAUGUCUUAAAGUUUGAGCCGAGAUGCCCCAUCCAAAUAAUUUUUUUAACUUUCGUUGGUUUUCUAAAUUGAGUAGGUUUCCCGUAGUGGG